UGAAACAGCUCUGCUGUUUGUAGCAAUUCGCUCAAACUGAAUUGAUCUUACUUCAGUGUUUCAUUCCAUGUGGCAAAGCCUCCAAUAAUGAUUAUACAUCUGUUUGAUGUCCAGAUAAAAUUAGCUGAGGGCUGCACUACAGAACAUCUGUUUUGACGACGUCUUUUGUCAAUAAGGGCUGUGAGAAACAGAAUAAAGAUUUGAAAUCAUGAGCAGGUGACCCAGUUUCUGUGUCUCCAUUAACUUCCCAUCUUAACCUUGCCUCUUCCUUUUUGGAUUUCGUGGGAGAGGACCUGUGGACAUUAUUCAAAGACCCCCACACGAAAUCACCAUAUGAAAUGUACAAUAACUGUACAAUGUAUUCAUCGACUCCAAAGGCUGAGUCAAACAUCUGCUUCAAUUCCAGAGGCUGCUGGAGGAGCUGCCUCAGGCUGGACUCACCAACAGCCCUAAGAAAUGCCACUUCAUUCUGCUUGAACAGUGUUACCAAGAUUCUAGAUCAACUGGGGACUGAUAAAACCUUCAAAAGCAGACAGAAGCUGUGCAGUUUUAUACUUCCUGGCUUGCGAGUAUGAAUUAUGUAUGCCAUUUCCAAAGGUAGGCAGGUUACCAUCAGUGCCUCAUGCCUUGUUUUUCUAGUAUAUCAUCUCUCCUCUCAAGUGUGACCAGUAAUGGGCAGCAAGAAAAAAAUGCUAUGAACAUCUAAGGUAGAGCCAGCUUUUAGCUUCCUAAAAAAACCUUUCAACUGGUUUUACAUGCUCCAAGCUUUCAUCUACCCUUCUCAUUUCAUCUACCCUUCCAAUCUACCCUUCACUCUCCAUGUUCAUGCCAAGCUGCUUUCCAUGAAGACGAUGCCAUUCACUAUCUGACACCAGCAUUGUACAUGUCUUUGACAUCACUUUGCCAAUUUCUUG
ensembl:lncRNA